rnacentral:rRNA from 1 species
AAUGCGACAAUAGGGAUUCCAUUAAAUAAAAUUUUAUGAUUUUUAAAUCCAAAUAUAUAAGUAAUUAAUUACAAUAUUAAUAAAAUUUCAAAUUAUUUAAUUUUUUAAUGGGGUUAAUUUAUAAUUAAUUAUUAAAUAUAAUAAUUAUAAUAUUUAAAUUAAUUUUAAUUAUAUUUUAAGAUUUCCCAGAAGAGCAGAAAAUUAAUAUAAAUUCUUAAAAUUGAAUUUUAAAUUAAAAUUAAAAAUAAAAUAAAUAUUUCAAAUAUAAAGUAAAUUAGAAAGUAAGAUCAAAAGAUUAUUUUUUGAUUAAUAAUACGAUGGAAACAUUUCAAUAACUAUGACGUCGGUAAAUUUAAAGUAACCCGUCUAAUCUGAAUUUUAAUAAUUGUUAUUCUGUACAAAAACAAUUUGUCCGC